rnacentral:rRNA from 1 species
UACGUAGGGUGCAAGCGUUUGUCCGGAAUUAUUGGGCGUAAAGAGCUCGUAGGCGGUUCGGUAAGUCAGGUGUGAAAUCUCCACGCUCAACGUGGAGGCGCCACCUGAAACUGCCGUGACUAGAGUCCGGUAGGGGAGUGUGGAAUUCCCGGUGUAGCGGUGAAAUGCGCAGAUAUCAGGAGGAACACCGAUUGCGAAGGCAGCUCGCUGGGACGUUACUGACGCUGAGACGCGAAAGCGUGGGGAGCAAACAGG